rnacentral:lncRNA from 1 species
GUUUAAAAUGACUUCAGUCGAAUUUGCUGUUUGUAGUCAAUUGAAUUAUGAAAUUCAUUAUCAUUUUUCUGUGUUGGACAAUCAUUUAUGCUGACUAUAGCUAUACUGUAAAACGUACACCACAGUAUAUGAGAAUAUGGCAAAUUAUGUUCAUAUUCGCUUAAAUAAUAUCUAAUCAUUAAUUUUCUGUCAUUUUUAAUGAACAAAAUACAGCUCCUUGUGCCAUCAUCGUCCAGGAAGUGACAGCAUUUUGGAGGAAUAACAGCAGCAGAAAAAUCUGCUGACGGCGUGUCAUUUAUUGUGACGGCUUUAUAAGCAAUAAUACACGGAGCAUCUGUGAUACAGGCAUUCUUGUGUCUAACAGCAGGAAGCUGAACCAUUCUGACAGACCUGACAGUCCAUGUCUAGGACAACAAUUACAACCUGAUAUGGACCAGCUUCUGGAUAUGAGGUGCAACCUUUUCUCCUGAUGACUGCCAUCUGAUGGACAUCAAAGGGGAGGAUGAGGACAGUGCAUGCAGGCCAUUUACGGUCACAGGAAGUAAGGCUGAUGCUCUCUGACAGUGCCAAUCCCUUUUGUUACUUUUGAUGGACUGACUGAAUAAUUUAUUAUAUAUAGGUGUGAGUGUUUUCUUGGUUCCAAAAGCAAUGAGCUGCCUAUCAAGAAUACAUAUUAAAGAGGUCAUGAACUGAGGUUAAAAUUAAAUUACCCAUUGCACUGUA